rnacentral:piRNA from 1 species
UCCCAAGUGAGUGUCUGGUAUAGGGAA